rnacentral:rRNA from 1 species
UUAAUGGAGAGUUUGAUCCUGGCUCAGGACGAACGCUGGCGGCGUGCCUAAUACAUGCAAGUCCCUGGGGAGUACGGUCGCAAGACUGAAACUCAAAGGAAUUGACGGGGACCCGCACAAGCAGUGGAGUAUGUGGUUUAAUUCGAAGCAACGCGAAGAACCUUACCAGGUCUUGACAUCCCUCUGACCGCUGUAGAGAUAUGGCUUUCCUUCGGGACAGAGGAGACAGGUGGUGCAUGGUUGUCGUCAGCUCGUGUCGUGAGAUGUUGGGUUAAGUCCCGCAACGAGCGCAACCCUUAUGCUUAGUUGCCAGCAGGUCAAGCUGGGCACU